rnacentral:RNase_P_RNA from 1 species
CCGGAAGGGCGGAGGAUCGCUCCCGGCGCGAGCCGGGGGAGGAAAGUCCGAACUCCACAGGGCGCGAUGCUGCGUAACUCGCGGCUGCCGACGCAAGGAAGCAGACGCGAGAUACACGCGGGAGGCGACGCCGCGAGGCGUCCCGACGGACAGUGCCACAGAGAAUUAAACCGCCGACUUCGGCGUUUUGGAUUUCAAAUUUGAAAUUUGAAAUUCGGGAUUGCCGGAGGGCAAGGGUGAAAAGGUGGGGUAAGAGCCCACCGCUCCAAGCGCAAGCGCGGAGGCACGGAAAACCCCAUCGGGAGCAAGGCCAAAUAGGGGACCCCGGAGCGGCCCGCUCCACGUUGCGCGCAAGCGCGGCAGGUCCCGGGUCUUGGCCGCUGAGACAAAUGAUCCUCUCCUCCGGCGCGCGAGCGCCGGGGCAGACAGAAUUCGGCUUACAGCCCUUCCGGAAUC